AUUGGUGACCUCUGGAACUGUGAAUGCUGCUGUUGAAUCAAGGAAUGUUGAUUUUGCUGCUGCUGUUGUGGUUGCUGCUGCGACUGAGGUGGUUGCUGUUGCUGCUGAAGAGAUGGUUGUGAGUCUAGCUGUUGUGGUCUUGCAGGCAUUGGAACCGUGGGCAAGAGACCUUGAGACAUUGGUAAGGCUUGAGCAUUUCC
rnacentral:misc_RNA from 1 species